rnacentral:snRNA from 1 species
AUACUUACCUGGUAGGGGAGAUACCAUGAUCAUGAAGGUGGUUCUCCCAGGGUGAGGCUCAGCCAUUGCACUCCGGCUGUGCUGACCCCUGCGAUUUCCCCAAAUGCGGGAAACUCGACUGCAUAAUUUCUGGUAGUGGGGGACUGCGUUCGCGCUUUCCCCUG